rnacentral:tRNA from 1 species
GUGGGGUUACCAAAGCGGCCUAAUGGCGCGGUCUGCAAAACCGUCGUGCGCCGGUUCGAAUCCGGCACCCCACU